rnacentral:rRNA from 1 species
UACGAAGGAUGCGAGCGUUAUCCGGAUUUAUUGGGUUUAAAGGGAGCGUAGGCGGUCUUAUAAGUCAGUUGUGAAAUCCUAUCGCUUAACGAUAGACGUGCCAUUGAUACUGUAGGACUUGAGUACAGAUGCCGUUGGCGGAAUGUGUCAUGUAGCGGUGAAAUGCAUAGAUAUGACACAGAACACCGAUUGCGAAGGCAGCUGACGAAACUGUAACUGACGCUGAGGCUCGAAAGCGUGGGGAUCAAACAGG